rnacentral:rRNA from 1 species
GACGAACGCUGGCGGCGUGCUUAACACAUGCAAGUCGAACGGAAAGGCCCUGCUUUUGUGGGGUGCUCGAGUGGCGAACGCGUGAGUAACACGUGAGUAACCUGCCCUUUACUUUGGGAUAACUUCAUUAAACUGGGGCUCAUACCCGAUAUGAGCUCCUUCUGCAUGGUUUUUGUUUUAAAGUUUCGGCGGUUGGGGAUGGACUCGCGGCUUAUCAGCUUGUUGGUGGGGUAGUGGCUUACCAAGGCUUUGACGGGUAGCCUGCCUGAGAGGGUGACAGGCCACAUUGGGACUGAGAUACGGGCCAGACUCAUACGGGAGGCAGCAGUGGGGAAUAUUGCACACUGGGCGGAAGCCUGAUGCAGCAACGCCGCGUGCGGGAUGACGGCCUUCGGGUUGUAACCCGCUUUCGACUGUGAAGAAGAGUGAGUGACGGUAAUGAGUAAAGAAGCAACGGCUAACUACGUG